rnacentral:rRNA from 1 species
UACGUAGGUGGCAAGCGUUGUCCGGAUUUACUGGGCGUAAAGAGCGCGCAGGCGGUCGUUCAAGUCGCGUGUGAAAGCCCCCGGCUCAACUGGGGAGGGUCACGCGAUACUGUGCGACUAGAGUGCGGAAGGGGCAACUGGAAUUCUUGGUGUAGCGGUGAAAUGCGUAGAUAUCAAGAGGAACACCUGCGGCGAAGGCGGGUUGCUGGGCCGACACUGACGCUGAGGCGCGAAAGCCAGGGGAGCGAACGGG